UACGUAGGGUGCAAGCGUUGUCCGGAAUUAUUGGGCGUAAAGCGCACGUAGGCGGACCAUCAAGUCGGAUGUGAAAUCCCUCGGCUUAACCGAGGACGUGCAUUCGAUACUGAUGGCCUUGAGUACGAAAGAGGAUCGCGGAAUUCCCGGUGUAGAGGUGAAAUUCGUAGAUAUCGGGAGGAACACCAGUGGCGAAGGCGGCGAUCUGGGUCGAUACUGACGCUGAGGUGCGAAAGCGUGGGGAGCAAACAGG
rnacentral:rRNA from 1 species